UAGUAAUAAUAAAACACAAAAUGCCCCUUUGGCGCUCCUUAAAUAUGGCACCCUGAGCUGGCACUCCGCUCGAUCGUAUGUUGAGCCGGCCCUGAGUAUCAAUGACAACAAACUCCUUUUUAUAUGAUUUAAUUAUUCGAAUUCUAUAUUUUAUGGAUUUGUAUAAAUGGCCUAGACAUUAACGGAUAUGUAGGAUAUCUAUAUUUAUGGUUUUAUCAAAGUUUUCACUUUAUUUAUUUAUCUUUCAGAUAAGCAAGAUACUACCUGGUGGUUCGGUGGUUCGGUUCUGCCUUCUAAGUAGUCUUGCCGCAGGUGACAUUUAAAUUAUUUACCUGCACACGACUACUUAUGAGGUUGAAUUGGUUUCUGAGCAACCAAAUCUUGGAUGCAUUAAUUAAAACAUCAUCGAAUGGAAAAGGUUAAUGUUACGCUCAUUCCAAAAUUGUUAAGUGGAAUAAAGCGUAAUCGGAAAGUAACUGUCAACUUAUCAUAAAAAAUAUACUAGAUUUAUAUAAUAUUAUAUACAAUUAUACUAAACAUCGAUUUACUGUAAAUUAUUAUUUAAAAAUAUUUUAAUUGUUAAUAAAAUGUGAGGGCAUUUUCUACAAAAACUUUCUAUUUUGUUUUAAAUUGAAUUAAUUAUGCAAAUUUUCAUUUAAUGAUAAAUAAAAAAAAAAUUGUCAACAUCUAUAAACCAUAGAAAUAAUAAAUAAUGGAACAAAAUAUAAAUGUACACAGUACAUCGUUUUUAUAUUUGCAGUAUGUAAAAAUAAUAAAUUUUCAAUCAAAUUUUGUAUUUUCGAUUAUGAAAAUCAUUCGCCGAUCAGCAAAUAUAAUAAAGUUUAUGAAUUUAAAUUAAUAAAUAAGUACUUUUGGAAAUAAAUUAAUCGCCUAUUUUCCUAAUAUAUUCAUUAUUUUAGAAUGUUCAAAAAUGUGGGAUUAUUACUAUAUCUGUCAUCAAAGUCAUCUUAAUGACAUAGCCACUUCCGCACUUCACCAUUCAGGAAUUUUAAAUGACAAAAAUUUAUUAAAUGAUGUUGUUAAAUAUAAAACUAUAUCAUCAAAAUCUUUAUUUACAUGUUCCUCUAAUAAAUUUCAUAAAACGAGGUUAAUUAAUUUGAGAUACGUAAAAAUAACAUCUCACAUAUUUUGAAUGUCAAUCAUAGUCGACCGGAUUGGUCGCAUAGAAACGUUUCGGCUUUCCAUUCUAGAGGACCGGGUUCGAGUCUCGGGUCAAUCAUGGGAUACAGGAGCCCAUCCUGUGGAAGGGCUUG
rnacentral:lncRNA from 1 species